rnacentral:rRNA from 1 species
GGGGAAUUUUCCGCAAUGGGCGAAAGCCUGACGGAGCAAUACCGCGUGAGGGAUGACGGCCUAUGGGUUGUAAACCUCCUUUUUCAGGGAGGAAUCAAUGACGUGUACCUGAAGAAUAAGCAUCGGCUAACUC